rnacentral:rRNA from 1 species
UACGUAGGGGGCAAGCGUUAUCCGGAUUUACUGGGUGUAAAGGGAGCGUAGACGGCGAUGCAAGCCAGAUGUGAAAGCCCGGGGCUCAACCCCGGGACUGCAUUUGGAACUGUGUGGCUGGAGUGUCGGAGAGGCAAGUGGAGUUCCUAGUGUAGCGGUGAAAUGCGUAGAUAUUAGGAGGAACACCAGUGGCGAAGGCGGCUUGCUGGACGAUGACUGGCGUUGAGGCUCGAAAGCGUGGGGAGCAAACAGG